ACGCGUGAGAAUUUGCCUCUAGGAGGGGGAUAACAACUGGAAACGGUUGCUAAUACCCCAUAUGCUUUCGAGUGAAAUGGAUUUCCGCCUAGAGAGAAGCUUGCGGCUGAUUAGCUUGUUGGUGAGGUAAUGGCUCACCAAGGCGACGAUCAGUAUCUGGUUUGAGAGGACGAUCAGACACACUGGAACUGAGACACGGUCCAGACUCCUACGGGAGGCAGCAGUGGGGAAUUUUCCGCAAUGGGCGAAAGCCUGACGGAGCAAUACCGCGUGAGGGAUGACGGCCUAUGGGUUGUAAACCUCUUUUUUCAGGGAGGAAUCAAUGACGUGUACCUGAAGAAUAAGCAUCGGCUAACUCCGUGCCAGCAGCCGCGGUAAGACGGAGGAUGCAAGUGUUAUCCGGAAUCACUGGGCGUAAAGCGUCUGUAGGUGGUUUAAUAAGUCAACUGUUAAAUCUUGAGGCUCAACCUCAAAAUCGCAGUCGAAACUAUUAGACUAGAGUAUAGUAGGGGUAAAGGGAAUUUCCAGUGGAGCGGUGAAAUGCGUAGAUAUUGGAAGGAACACCGAUGGCGAAGGCACUUUACUGGGCUAUUACUAACACUCAGAGACGAAAGCUAGGGUAGCAAAUGGGAUUAG
rnacentral:rRNA from 1 species